rnacentral:rRNA from 1 species
AUACGGAGGAUGCGAGCGUUAUCCGGAUUUAUUGGGUUUAAAGGGAGCGCAGACGGGUCGUUAAGUCAGCUGUGAAAGUUUGGGGCUCAACCUUAAAAUUGCAGUUGAUACUGGCGUCCUUGAGUGCGGUUGAGGUGUGCGGAAUUCGUGGUGUAGCGGUGAAAUGCUUAGAUAUCACGAAGAACUCCGAUUGCGAAGGCAGCACACUAAGCCGUAACUGACGCUCAUGCUCGAAAGUGUGGGUAUCAAACAGGAUUAGAUACCCUGGUAGUCCACACGGUAAACGAUGGAUACUCGCUGUUGGCGAUAUACGGUCAGCGGCUUAGCGAAAGCGUUAAGUAUCCCACCUGGGGAGUACGCCGGCAACGGUGAAACUCAAAGGAAUUGACGGGGGCCCGCACAAGCGGAGGAACAUGUGGUUUAAUUCGAUGAUACGCGAGGAACCUUACCCGGGCUUAAAUUGCAAAGGAAUAAUCUGGAAACAGGUUAGUCUUCGGACCUUUGUGAAGGUGCUGCAUGGUUGUCGUCAGCUCGUGCCGUGAGGUGUCGGCUUAAGUGCCAUAACGAGCGCAACCCUCGCCGCCAGUUACUAACAGUUAAAGCUGAGGACUCUGGCGGGACUGCCAUCGUAAGAUGUGAGGAAGGUGGGGAUGACGUCAAAUCAGCACGGCCCUUACGUCCGGGGCUACACACGUGUUACAAUGGGCGGUACAGAAGGCAGCUACCUGGCGACAGGAUGCCAAUCCCUAAAGCCGCUCUCAGUUCGGACUGGAGUCUGCAACCCGACUCCACGAAGCUGGAUUCGCUAGUAAUCGCGCAUCAGCCACGGCGCGGUGAAUACGUUCCCGGGCCUUGUACACACCGCCCGUCAAGCCAUGAAAGCCGGGGGUACCUGAAGUGCGUAACCGCAAGGAGCGCCCUAGGGUAAAACUGGUAAUUGGGGCU